rnacentral:rRNA from 1 species
AGUGGCGGACGGGUGAGUAAUGUCUGGGGAUCUGCCCGAUAGAGGGGGAUAACCCCUGGAAACGGUGGCUAAUACCGCAUAACGUCGCAAGACCAAAGAGGGGGACCUUCGGGCCUCUCACUAUCGGAUGAACCCAGAUGGGAUUAGCUAGUAGGCGGGGUAAUGGCCCACCUAGGCGACAAUCCCUAGCUGGUCUGAGAGGAUGACCAGCCACACUGGAACUGAGACACGGUCCACACUCCUACGGGAGGCAGCAGUGGGGAAUAUUGCACAAUGGGCGCAAGCCUGAUGCACCCUGCCGCGUGUAUGAAGAAGGCCUUCGGGUUGUAAAGUACUUUCAGCGGGGAGGAAGGCGAUGGGGUUAAUAACCCUAUCGAUUGACGUUACCCGCAGAAGAAACACCGGCUAACUCCGUGCCAGCAGCCGCGGUAAUACGGAGGGUGCAAGCGUUAAUCGGAAUUACUGGGCGUAAAGCGCACGCAGGCGGUCUGUUAAGUCAGAUAUGAAAUCCCCGGGCUUAACCUGGGAACUGCAUUUGAAACUGGCAGGCUUGAGUCUUGUAAGGGGGGUAGAAUUCCAGGUGUACGGUGAAAUGCGUAGAGAUCUGGAGGAAUACCGGUGGCGAAGCGGCCCCUGGACAAAGACUGACGCUCAGGUGCGAAACGUGGGAGAAACAGGAUUAGAUACCUGGUAGUCCACGCCGUAAA